rnacentral:lncRNA from 7 species
CACAACCUUGACUCUACGAUUAUCAUCAGCGUCGUGACGUCAGGUCCCGACAAACAUCACAUCAACCAUCAUGGGCACACCGGCGCAGGCUCACCAGCACCAUCAUGCCCUUGUGCUGGCACAGGCGCGCGAACUUGAAGCUCCGCUUCACUGAAGCUUCCGUCGUUCUGUGUUCAUCUUGUGAUGCACUGUUUAUUUUCAGAGUGUUGUCCACUGGUGAUGUAGGACUUUCUGAAGGAAGGUGCAAGCAGACCGACCUCGACGGGGGACGGUCAAUAUCAACC